AGAACGAACGCUGGCGGCGUGGAUAAGACAUGCAAGUCGAACGCGAUUUAUCUGGUUAGCAAUAACUAGGUAAAUUGAGUGGCGAAAGGGUGCGUAACACGUGGGAAUUUACCAAGAAGUGGGGAAUAGCUCGACGAAAGUCGAAUUAAUACCGCAUAUGAUCGCAAGAUCAAAGCCGGGGACCGCAAGGCCUGGCGCUUUUUGAGAAGCCCGCGGCCCAUCAGCUAGUUGGCGGGGUAACGGCCCACCAAGGCUAUGACGGGUAGCUGGUCUGAGAGGACGACCAGCCACACUGGAACUGAGACACGGUCCAGACACCUACGGGUGGCAGCAGUCGAGAAUUUUUUCACAAUGGACGAAAGUCUGAUGGAGCGACGCCGCGUGGAGGAUGAAGGUUUUCGGAUUGUAAACUCCUGUCACUGCAGAACAAGGAUACGUCAGUUAACAGCCGACGUAUUGAUGGUAUGCGGAGAGGAGGGACGGCUAACUCUGUGCCGAGCA
rnacentral:rRNA from 1 species